GAUGAAGAACGCAGCGAAAUGUGAUACGUAAUGUGAAUUGCAGAAUUCAGUGAAUCAUCGAAUCUUUGAACGCAUAUUGCGCUCUCUGGUAUUCCGGAGAGCAUGCUUGUUUGAGUAUCAGUAAACACCUCAACUCCCUUUUCUUUUUUGAAAUUGGAGCUGGACUUGAGUGAUCCCAACGCUUUCUUCCAAGAAAGUGGCGGGUUGCUUGAAAUGCAGGUGCAGCUGAACUUUUCUCUGAGCUAUAAGCAUAUCUAUUUAGUCUGCCUAAAAAACAGAUUAUUACCUUUGCUGCAGCUAACAUAAAGGAGACUAGUUCUUGUGCUGACUGAUGCAGGAUUCACAGAGACAGCUUCGGCUGACUUUGUAAACUCGAUCUCAAAUCAAGUAAGACUACCCGCUGAACUUAAGCAUAUCAAUAAGCGGAGGA
rnacentral:misc_RNA from 1 species